UACGUAGGGCGCAAGCGUUGUCCGGAAUUAUUGGGCGUAAAGAGCUCGUAGGCGGCUUGUCACGUCGGGUGUGAAAGCCCGGGGCUUAACCCCGGGUCUGCAUUCGAUACGGGCAGGCUAGAGUGUGGUAGGGGAGAUCGGAAUUCCGUGGUGUAGCGGUGAAAUGCGCAGAUAUCAGGAGGAACACCGGUGGCGAAGGCGGAUCUCUGGGCCAUUACUGACGCUGAGGAGCGAAAGCGUGGGGGAGCGAACAGG
rnacentral:rRNA from 1 species